AACGGAUAUCUCGGCUCUCGCCACGAUGAAGAAUGUAGCGAAAUGCGAUACUUAGUGUGAAUUGCAAGAAUCCCGUGAAUCAUCCAAUCUUUGGACGCAAGUUGCGCCCCGAGCCUCGGCCCAAGGGCACGUCUGCUUGGGCGUCGC
rnacentral:rRNA from 1 species